CCCUUAGAUGUUCUGGGCCGCACGCGUGCUACACUGAGUGGAUCAGCGGGUCAGGUUGCGCGAAAGUGUUUCCUAAUCUUGAAAUCCGCUCGUGAUGGGGAUUGACGGUUGCAAUUUUCCGUCAUGAACGAGGAAUACCUUGUAAGCGCGGGUCAUCAUCCCGCGCUGAAUACGUCCCUGCCCUUUGUACACACCGCCCGUCGCUCCUACCGAUUGAGUGGUCCGGUGAGGCUUUGGGAUCUGAGCGGAAAGAGCGUUUCGCUGUUUCUGCUCGGAAAACUCAGUCGAACCUUAUCAUUUAGAGGAAGGAGAAGUCGUAACG
rnacentral:rRNA from 1 species